GUGGGGAAUCUUAGACAAUGGGCGCAAGCCUGAUCUAGCCAUGCCGCGUGAUCGAUGAAGGCCUUAGGGUUGUAAAGAUCUUUCAGUGGGGAAGAUAAUGACGGUACCCACAGAAGAAGCCCCGGCUAACUCCGUGCCAGCAGCCGCGGUAAUACGGAGGGGGCUAGCGUUAUUCGGAAUUACUGGGCGUAAAGCGCACGUAGGCGGAUCGGAAAGUUGGGGGUGAAAUCCCAGGGCUCAACCCUGGAACUGCCUUCAAAACUCCCGGUCUUGAGGUCGAGAGAGGUGAGUGGAAUUCCGAGUGUAGAGGUGAAAUUCGUAGAUAUUCGGAGGAACACCAGUGGCGAAGGCGGCUCACUGGCUCGAUACUGACGCUGAGGUGCGAAAGCGUGGGGAGCAAACAGGAUUAGAAACCCCUGUAGUCC
rnacentral:rRNA from 1 species